rnacentral:rRNA from 1 species
AGAGUGAACGCUGGCGGCAGGCCUAAUACAUGCAAGUCGAACGGCAGCACGGCAGAGCUUGCUCUGUGGGUGGCGAGUGGCGGACGGGUGAGGAAUACAUGGGAAUCUGCCCAGUCGUGGGGGAUAACGUAGGGAAACUUACGCUAAUACCGCAUGCGCCCUUCGGGGGAAAGCC